rnacentral:lncRNA from 1 species
CAUUGCCCAAAAUAUGCAAGCAGACUAUCAACCACGCCGUCCCCAAGAUAAAACAACUCAGAUCUCUGUUAUCGAAUUCUUACUACACUAUAAGAACCGAUCUCGAAUACACCCACCACAAUAUGGCUACUCGUGCCAAUUCUCGAAAUUACACACAAUAUGGCUACUCGUGCCAAUUCUCUUCCCACAAUACUAACUAUCAGUGUCAGUUCUCGAAAUUUACAGAAUAUGGCUACCUGUGCCAAUUCUCUUCCCACAAUACUGACUACCAGUGUCAGUUCUCAAAAUGCCCAUAAUAUGGCUACUUGUGCCAAUUCUUUCCACCAAUACUGACUACUAGUGUCAGUUCUCGAAAUUUCCAGAAUAUGACUACAUGUGCCAAUUCUUUUCCCACAAUACUGACUACCUGUGUCAGUUCUCAAAAUGCCCAUAAUAUGGCUACCUAUGCCAAUUCUUUCCCCCAAUACUGACUACCAGUGUCAAUUCUCAAAAUGCCCACAAUAUGGCUACAUGUGCCAUUUCUUAGUGCCACGGCGGAAAAUAUGAGGGAGAAAGAAAAGGUUGAAUGAAAGCGCAUUCAACUUGAGGCAAGAAAAUAUGAAGGGAGAAUGCUUUUAUUUAUAACUUGGGAUUUUUUCCAAGUUUCUCAUCUCUCCAAUGUGGGACUUGAGAGUUGUUUUUUCCCCAAAACUCUUCUAUGUGGGACUUGAGUGUUGUUUUUUUCAAAACUCUUCUAUGUGAGAUUUGGGUGUUUUUUAUAUUUCACACCCAAAAGUUCUCACUAAUGGUUUUCAACAAACCAUGUUCCAACAAUAAUGGUAGCAAUAGGAAUUAGUUUUGGUAAAAAUGAUGUAACAUACUCCAUAUUUAUUCAAAUAGGACAACUUAUAUAUAAAAAUGAAGAAGAU